rnacentral:lncRNA from 1 species
CGCAGGCAGAGAGCGAAAACUGGCAAGGGUGCUGGUCCACGCAGGCCUGGCCCUACCUAGAGACGUGCCAGCAACCAACCGGAGACUCACUCACGAUGCUUUCAGCCACCGCCGCAGCCGAUGCAGCAGCCUAAGCCGAAGCCUCUGCCCUUGGCACCCACUUCCGCUUCCGCUCAAGGGCCCCGCCUGGUAGGUGGGCGGGGCGAGGCAUGCUGCCACGAGGCGCAGGAAGACGGAUGUGCGCAGGCGCGUUGGUCCGGCUGCGCAGGCAGGGUUGCCAUUCUAGCAUGGGAAGUAAGAGAAACUCCGGGAAGAGGAGCAAGGCAAAAACAAUGAAAGGUCUCGGCAUAUUCAAUCAGUAAAAAAUAGAGGGGCCACUUUAAGAUUUGCACAGGAAAGCGCUGGAGAGCAGCUGGCUGCAGAAAUCUGAUCUAGAGACAAAGGAAUGCCCGGUCCAUCCUCUAGCAAAACAGGUAAACACACGCGCUUUGUCAUGAAAAUGAGGCGCUAGGACAGCGCUGCAGCAGCUGACUCCCGAUUUCGAGGGGGGAGUGGGGAGGAGCCGGGCAGCAGCAGAAGAGGGAGGGGGCGGGGGUGGGCUGGGGGGAGGCUCGGGCAGGGGCUUAUCCAUCAUCUGCGAUCCGGGUCGGCCCGCCGAGCCCGCCGAGCCACGCGCCUCGCCCUUUCUCAUUCAAAUCAGCACAUGCCUUUGCAACUGGCAGCCAACCUGCGGCCUCCAGGCCUGCAGGUCCCCACGCGCGAGCAGAGGUGCGGGGCGUGCCCCCAGAGGCGGCGCACUCUUACUCAGCGCUCCCCCCGCCCACAGCAGCCACACAGAAUAAAACUCCGUGGGGUUGGGACACGCUUGGGUUUUCUUCCCCCGGCCGCCUGGCCCCUUAAAAAGGUUAAGGAUAA